rnacentral:rRNA from 1 species
GAUGAACGCUGGCGGCGUGCCUAAUACAUGCAAGUCGAGCGAACGGACGAGAAGCUUGCUUCUCUGAUGUUAGCGGCGGACGGGUGAGUAACACGUGGAUAACCUACCUAUAAGACUGGGAUAACUUCGGGAAACCGGAGCUAAUACCGGAUAAUAUUUUGAACCGCAUGGUUCAAAAGUGAAAGACGGUCUUGCUGUCACUUAUAGAUGGAUCCGCGCUGCAUUAGCUAGUUGGUAAGGUAACGGCUUACCAAGGCAACGAUGCGUAGCCGACCUGAGAGGGUGAUCGGCCACACUGGAACUGAGACACGGUCCAGACUCCUACGGGAGGCAGCAGUAGGGAAUCUUCCGCAAUGGGCGAAAGCCUGACGGAGCAACGCCGCGUGAGUGAUGAAGGUCUUCGGAUCGUAAAACUCUGUUAUUAGGGAAGAACAUAUGUGUAAGUAACUGUGCACAUCUUGACGGUACCUAAUCAGAAAGCCACGGCUAACUACGUGCCAGCAGCCGCGGUAAUACGUAGGUGGCAAGCGUUAUCCGGAAUUAUUGGGCGUAAAGCGCGCGUAGGCGGUUUUUUAAGUCUGAUGUGAAAGCCCACGGCUCAACCGUGGAGGGUCAUUGGAAACUGGAAAACUUGAGUGCAGAAGAGGAAAGUGGAAUUCCAUGUGUAGCGGUGAAAUGCGCAGAGAUAUGGAGGAACACCAGUGGCGAAGGCGACUUUCUGGUCUGUAACUGACGCUGAUGUGCGAAGGCGUGGGGAUCAAACAGGAUUAGAUACCCUGGUAGUCCACGCCGUAAACGAUGAGUGCUAAGUGUUAGGGGGUUUCCGCCCCUUAGUGCGGCAGCUAACGCAUUAAGCACUCCGCCUGGGGAGUACGACCGCAAGGUUGGAACUCAAAGGAAUUGACGGGGACCCGCACAAGCGGUGGAGCAUGUGGUUUAAUUCGAAGCAACGCGAAGAACCUUACCAAAUCUUGACAUCCUUUGACAGCUCUAGAGAUAGAGCCUUCCCCUUCGGGGGACAAAGUGACAGGUGGUGCAUGGUCGUCGUCAGCUCGUGUCGUGAGAUGUUGGGUUAAGUCCCGCAACGAGCGCAACCCUUAAGCUUAGUUGCCAUCAUUAAGUUGGGCACUCUAAGUUGACUGCCGGUGACAAACCGGAGGAAGGUGGGGAUGACGUCAAAUCAUCAUGCCCCUUAUGAUUUGGGCUACACACGUGCUACAAUGGACAAUACAAAGGGCAGCGAAACCGCGAGGUCAAGCAAAUCCCAUAAAGUUGUUCUCAGUUCGGAUUGUAGUCUGCAACUCGACUACAUGAAGCUGGAAUCGCUAGUAAUCGUAGAUCGGCAUGCUACGGUGAAUACGUUCCCGGGUCU